rnacentral:tRNA from 1 species
GCCGCUGUGGCGAAACAGGCAGACGCAAGGGACUUAAAAUCCCUCGGUGGAAACACCGUACCGGUUCGAUCCCGGUCAGCGGCACCA